rnacentral:rRNA from 1 species
UUUUCGGAGAGUUUGAUCCUGGCUCAGAGUGAACGCUGGCGGCGUGGAUUAGGCAUGAAAGUCGAGCGGUCUUUUAGGCGGAGAGGUUGAAGCUCGCAAGAGCGGAUGCCGAUUUGCCUGAUUGAUAGCGGCAGACUGGUGAGUAACACGUGAGUAAUUUACCUCUAAUUCGGGGAUAGCCUUGCGAAAGCGAGGGUAAUACCCGAUGUGAAUUCGGCGGCGCAAGUUGCCAAAUUUAAAGGCGGCCGUAAGGUUGCUGUUUAGAGCUGAGCUCGCGUCCUAUCAGCUAGUUGGCGGGGUAAUGGCCCACCAAGGCAUUUGACGGGUAGCUGGCCUGAGAGGGUGGUCAGCCACACGGGGACUGAGACACUGCCCCGACUCCUACGGGAGGCUGCAGUCGAGGAUCUUUAGCAAUGGGCGAAAGCCUGACUAUGCGA